AGUUAAUCUAUUGGAGCUGAAUUACAUUGCCUUUUAUUUUCUUAAGUGUAAAAAGUACUUUACAUAUUAAAUUUAGAGUAAACAUCCUGUCUGAUGUUGCGUAUGAACAGAUCUGUUUCCUUGAUCCUGUUUCAUUCUGACCCUCUGCUAAGCAUCUGAUCCAUGCAAUCUGCAUUCAACUAUGGAACCAAAGACAGCAGCACUGUCCAGCCCCUGUCCUUGUCAUCAACGUUUGCCAGAGGAAUUGAAUGAACUAAAUACAGAGUUUUGUGAUGAAAGUGUAACAUACUCCGAACUCAAACUUCGUGAUUCUUCAAAUAUUCAGAAGAGAAAACUAACUAGGAUUUGGAAAGCAAAAGAGUCUCCAUGGUGCAUUGCUACAGUGAUAUUUGCCUUGCUUUAUUUAAUUGCUCUUGCACUAGCUGCAUUUAUGAUAGCUAAGGGUAAGUAUUUUUCAGGUUUUCAUUAACUUGUUAAAAGUUACUAGAAUAGAAUUUUGAAGCAUUUGAAAUUAAUUCUAAGGCUUUACUAAAGUUAUUUUCCUCAUUUGUUAUUUUAGUUGCAUAAAAGUAAUUUUACCAAUUCAGUUUUUGAAUUAUCAACAAUAGCUUUGUCCCAGGUGAGCUUAUCAAAGAUGUUGGUGGAUAGCUGUGUAUUUUGAAAAAAAAUGAAAAAUAAUAGCAAUGUUCUUUAUGUUAUUGUAUUUUUACUGACAUUAGACUUAGCAACUGUGAGAUGUAAGAAAACUUGGAGAUAUUUAUAGAAUUUAUUAUUUGGGCAGUUAAAAACUAACUGUAAGGACAUCAAGUCAGGAAUUUGAAAGAAAUAAUCUAAUAGAAGAAAUAAAAUGAUAAUGGGCAGAGAUUCA
ensembl:lncRNA